AGCGAACGCUGGCGGCAGGCUUAACGCAUGCCAGUCGAGCGGGCACUUCGGUGUCAGCGGCAGACGGGUGAGUAACACGUGGGAACGUACCCUUUGGUUCGGAAUAACGCUGGGAAACUAGCGCUAAUACCGGAUACGCCCUUUUGGGGAAAGGCUUGCUGCCGAAGGAUCGGCCCGCGUCUGAUUAGCUAGUUGGUGGGGUAAUGGCCUACCAAGGCGACGAUCAGUAGCUGGUCUGAGAGGAUGAUCAGCCACACUGGGACUGAGACACGGCCCAGACUCCUACGGGAGGCAGCAGUGGGGAAUAUUGGACAAUGGGCGCAAGCCUGAUCCAGCCAUGCCGCGUGAGUGAUGAAGGCCUUAGGGUUGUAAAGCUCUUUUGUCCGGGACGAUAAUGACGGUACCGGAAGAAUAAGCCCCGGCUAACUUCGUG
rnacentral:rRNA from 1 species